GUAGGGAAUAUUGGGCAAUGGUCGGAAGACUGACCCAGCCAUGCCGCGUGCAGGAAGACGGCCCUCUGGGUUGUAAACUGCUUUUAUCUGGGAAGAAAAAGGCCAUGCGUGGCAAAUUGCCGGUACCAGAUGAAUAAGCACCGGCUAACUCCGUGCCAGCAGCCGCGGUAUUACGGAGGGUGCGAGCGUUGUCCGGAUUUAUUGGGUUUAAAGGGUGCGUAGGCGGCUGAUUAAGUCAGCGGUGAAAGACUUCGGCUUAACCGGAGCAGUGCCGUUGAUACUGGUUGGCUUGAGUGUCGGAGGGGUACAUGGAAUUGAUGGUGUAGCGGUGAAAUGCAUAGAUACCAUCAGGAACACCGAUAGCGAAGGCAUUGUACUGGCCGACAACUGACGCUGAUGCACGAAAGUGUGGGGAUCGAACAGGAUUAGAAACCCCAGUAGUCC
rnacentral:rRNA from 1 species